AGAGUUUGAUUCCCUGCUCAGAUUGAACGCUGGCGGCAGGCCUAACACAUGCAAGUCGAGCGGUAACAUUUCUAGCUUGCUAGAAGAUGACGAGCGGCGGACGGGUGAGUAAUGCUUGGGAACAUGCCUUGAGGUGGGGGACAACCAUUGGAAACGAUGGCUAAUACCGCAUAAUGUCUACGGACCAAAGGGGGCUUCGGCUCUCGCCUUUAGAUUGGCCCAAGUGGGAUUAGCUAGUUGGUGAGGUAAAGGCUCACCAAGGCGACGAUCCCUAGCUGGUUUGAGAGGAUGAUCAGCCACACUGGAACUGAGACACGGUCCAGACUCCUACGGGAGGCAGCAGUGGGGAAUAUUGCACAAUGGGCGCAAGCCUGAUGCAGCCAUGCCGCGUGUGUGAAGAAGGCCUUCGGGUUGUAAAGCACUUUCAGUCAGGAGGAAAGGUUAGUAGUUAAUACCUGCUAGCUGUGACGUUACUGACAGAAGAAGCACCGGCUAACUCCGUGCCAGCAGCCGCGGUAAUAC
rnacentral:rRNA from 1 species